GACGGUGAGGCGUGGCAGCGACGGCUCCUCCCUCCAGCUUGACGAUGGCGUGACGGCGGCCCACACCCUACCGGCGACGCAUCUCCCUUCUCGGAUCUCUCUUCCAUGUGUGUGAAUACAUUUGUUUUGUGUGUGUAUAGUUGAGAAGGCAGAAAGAGUGAGGAGAGGAGGGUUGGGGGCUGCGCAGGUGAAGAGGAGAGAGGCGGUGAAGAUAGAAUUAUGGUUAAGGGCAAUGUAGUCAUUUUACUUGAGUGAGAGGGACUUAUGUGUUCCGUUUUCAAAACCUCCAUCCUACUAACAUGCCACGUGGGAACGCCGUUGAGCCAGGAACGUCAGGGAUUUAAAUAUAUUUUCCAAUGCUCAGGGACAAAAAUGUCUGAGGCUUAAAAAGUCAGGGACUAAAUUGUCCUUUUCUCUAAAA